rnacentral:rRNA from 1 species
GCCAGAUUGGGACUGAGACACGGCCCAGACUCCUACGGGAGGCAGCAGUGGGGAAUCUUGCACAAUGGGCGAAAGCCUGAUGCAGCGACGCCGCGUGCGGGACGAAGGCCUUCGGGUUGUAAACCGCUUUCAGCAGGGACGAGGCGAAAGUGACGGUACCUGCAGAAGAAGCCCCGGCUAACUACGUGCCAGCAGCCGCGGUAAUACGUAGGGGGCAAGCGUUAUCCGGAUUCAUUGGGCGUAAAGCGCUCGUAGGCGGUCUGUUAGGUCGGGAGUUAAAUCCGGAGGCUCAACCUCCGCCCGCUCCCGAUACCGGCAGACUUGAGUUUGGUAGGGGAAGGUGGAAUUCCUAGUGUAGCGGUGGAAUGCGCAGAUAUUAGGAAGAACACCAGUGGCGAAGGCGGCCUUCUGGGCCAUAACUGACGCUGAGGAGCGAAAGCUAGGGGAGCAAACAGGAUUAGAUACCCUGGUAGUCCUAGCCGUAAACGAUGGACACUAGGUGUGGGGGAGUAUUUCUUCCGUGCCGCAGCUAACGCAUUAAGUGUCCCGCCUGGGGAGUACGGCCGCAAGGCUAAAACUCAAAGGAAUUGACGGGGACCCGCACAAGCAGCGGAGCAUGUGGUUUAAUUCGAAGCAACGCGAAGAACCUUACCAAGGCUUGACAUAUAGUUGAGUUAUUGAGAAAUUGAUAAGUCCCUCGGGACAACUAUACAGGUGGUGCAUGGUUGUCGUCAGCUCGUGUCGUGAGAUGUUGGGUUAAGUCCCGCAACGAGCGCAACCCUU